AAGACACGGGUCGCUCAGCAAACUAAGAGAAACUGUGGGUGAAGAGAAGAAAUUGAUGGGACCUGCAUACUUUCCAUUACUUCUACCUUCCUGUGACCACCUGGUCAAAAGUUUAUGUUGCCUUCCUAUCUGGAUUGAUUUCUCAGUUCCUCAGUUUACGCAGCACCCUCCCUCCCACCCUACAUUGCCUAUGGGCCCUUUAACAGACGACUACAGACAUCGUGAAAGAGAGACAGAAUCAGCAGAGGAUGAGAUACUCCAACACUGUGGAGCUGUGUUAGACUUCCUGGGAAAUAAAGAAAUAGACACACCUCUGUUGCCUUGGCUAUCGUACAGAGGCAUGGACGUGAGGAGAACAGGUACCCACUCUGACAAUUGAACAGUCAGCUCAUGGAGACCUGAAACCUUAUGCACAACACCUUCCCGGCAGGCCAGUAGCAACUCCAGCACUAUCCCAUUUUUGUGUGGCAGUUUUCAUUUGUCCUUGCUUCUGCCUCUAUUUUUCACUUUGCUUUUCUUCCCACUGCAUUUACUGAUGCCUUUUCUCUCUGCUCUAGUUCUCUGCUAUAUCAUGACUUCUCUUUAAUAGUAGCUUCUACUACCUAUGGCUUCUACUACUUCACAGCUUUGGUUUACUGCCUAUGUGUCUUUCAAAGUGUGUGGCCCACUACUCUCUAUAGACCUCUCUACGUGUCACAUCAAAUUCCCCAAGGUGAAGAUCUGAUUGACUAGUUCAGUGUUUGGUGUAUAAUAACCCUGUUGAAUAGGAUUCUUCCUCAGAGUCACUGCAUGAGCUUCUCUGAUAGCCAUUUCACAAGUGGCUGACUUUGGGAUAGGUGCUAGUUCUAGGUACAAAAUUUAGAAUAAAUAUUUCAGAAAUAAAGAUCACAAAAUGCAGAGUAAUUCAGGUAUAACUAAUUGUGUGUGGACUCUAUUCAGAAGACUAGGAGUCUAAUAGGUUCACUGUGUAGGCAAUUACCAAUUUUUGUUUAAUUUUUAAAAUAUUAUUAUUUAUUUAUAGAUUGUGUUUAUACAGGCCAAGGUAAAUUGAAGAGUUUAGCUAUGCUAUGAAGUUUCUCUCUAUAGUGAUAAUAUCUGAUAAUGUAUAGGAUAUCAAAGAAUUAUAUGCCGAGAAGGGUCAGAAAUCACCUUGUCCAGCAGGUCUCAACUCCUUGGUCUCAAUCAGUUUACAAUCCUAAAAAUUACUACGGACCCCAGUGAACUUUAGUUUAAGUGAGUUGUAUCAAUCAAUGUUUAUUGUAUUAGUUAUUGAAGAAUAAUUUUAAAUAUUCAUUCCUUUAAAAAUAAUAGUAAUAAAUACCUUAUAAAUAAAAUAACAUAUUUUAUGAAAAAUACGUUUGUAUUAGUGAGAAGACUGGUGUCGUCUUGCCUUUUUUUGUCGAUCUUUUUAAUGGCUAGUUGAAUGAAAGAUAGCUGGAUUCCCAUAUUUGCUUCUGCAUUUAAGCUAUUAUAAUAUCAUAUGUCAUGUAGCCACUAGAAAACUCCAUGGUGUACUUGUGAGCAAACAAGAGUGAAAAAGGCAAAUGACACCUUAGUGUUAUUAUGAAAGAGUUUUGAUUUCAGAGACAUCCUGAAAAGAUUUCAGAGACCCCAGGGUCCCUGGACCACAUUUUGAAAAUCUUGAACAUGGUGGCAGAAGUGGGGUUAGAACUCAGUAUCCUGUUUAUUCAUUAUGUCAGGAUUCAAGCACCAACAAACCAACUGCCCACAUUCUGGUCCAAAGAGUAGACAAAAUGCCAGGUGUCCACCUGUCUCUUGCUGUGAAAACCUGGCCUCAGAGGAGUGAACCAGGCUCUGGGAGGUGAAGAGAUUGGUGACAUUUCACAGCCAUCAAAAGGGACACAAAGAUAAGAACACAGGAUCCAAGAGAUCUCAUCCUUGUCCUUUCGUUGGUCUGUGUAUGCUGCAGUUUCACUCUAAACCUGAUGUACUGAAGGUUUGUUAUAGAGAAAUAAACCAAUAAAUCGGAAGAAAGAGGACAUGAUUUGUUCACACCAGUCCCUUUCAGCAUUUCCCAGGUUAGAUCAGAGGGGCAAUUCUAGGAGCAGCAGUCUGUAUUAUUGCCUUUAAUUUCCCCAUGGCCCAGACUAACAUUGUCUUUUCCCUUUGUUACGCUUUUGGCAGAAGGUCUUUCCCUCAUGGUUAGACUUAAUUGGAAUCCAAGCCAAAGGGGGAUGGGACAGGCUGCCAUGUUGUAGCACUUUCCUGAGCCAAUUCUUCAGGGAAUAUCUGUGUUCCGUUGAUAUAAUGUGUAAUACAAGGCUUAUUGCACAGUACAUGGGAUUAAAAGAGGAUUUUAAUUUUAAAUUUCUUUAAGGGGUAAUUCUAAUGAAACAAAAAGUAUAUUUUUAUUCAAAUUUUUAGUUGAAUAUAUAUAUGUAUACAUGCAAUAGUAUAGUAUAUAUAGUGUGCUGGUAUAUGUCUGUGCAUAUAUUUAUA
ensembl:lncRNA PKN2-AS1 PKN2 antisense RNA 1